UACGUAGGGGGCUAGCGUUGUCCGGAAUCAUUGGGCGUAAAGAGCGUGUAGGCGGCCCGGUAAGUCCGCUGUGAAAGUCCAGGGCUCAACCCUGGGAUGCGGGUGGAUACUGCCGGGCUCGAGUCCGGAAGAGGAGAGUGGAAUUCCUGGUGUAGCGGUGAAAUGCGCAGAUAUCAGGAAGAACACCCGUGGCGAAGGCGGCUCUCUGGUACGUGACUGACGCUGAGACGCGAAAGCGUGGGGAGCAAACAGG
rnacentral:rRNA from 1 species